AUAACUUUUAGGAAUAAAUUAUAAAAUAUUUUUUUCUAUAUAAUUUCACAAAGAACGUGAGAGCAUAUUUUUUUACAUCUUAUUUAUUGAAUAUAUUGCUACGAAAAUCAAUAAUAGAGUUAAAGUGUAGAGCAAUGUUUUCAAAAUCGGACCGGAAACCGAUUCGGCAUAGCUUUUACAGCAAAUAAUAUAAAACUAGAGGAAGUUUCAUGUUUACCAUUUUCAAAGUACCACUUUUCAUUUUUACCACCACUAAUUAGACAUUUUCAAAAAUAUCUUCUUCAUUAAGUGACAAAAGACUCUUAUAUUGUUUUAUAUGUUUUCGAAUUAUAGUUUUUUAAAUUCGAACUUUUUUAUAAAUUUAUUUUCUUUGAAAUUUUUUUUUUGAAUUUUUUUUCCCGAAAUUUUUGUUUUAUUUUUUUCAAAUUUUCUUUUUGAAAAUCGAAAAUUAUGUUUGAAACUUUUUUAAAAAUUGUUUUUAAAAUUUUUUAAGUAUUUAUUUAUAUAUUUAUUAGAAUCUUAAAUUUCAUAUUCCAAAAACCCUACUCCACCCCU
rnacentral:lncRNA from 1 species